rnacentral:tRNA from 1 species
AUUCAUAUAGUUUAAAAAAAACAUUACAUUUUCAUUGUAAAAUUAGAGUACAUUCUUAUGAAUU